rnacentral:tRNA from 1 species
UUUAAUGGAAGCCAAAACGAGGCUUAUCACUGUUAAUGAUAGAACUGAAAUACCUUUCCCAUUAA